rnacentral:tRNA from 1 species
GCGGGAGUAGCUCAGUUGGUAGAGCACUUGCCUUCCAAGCAAGAUGUCGAGGGUUCGAGCCCCUUCUCCCGCUCCA